rnacentral:rRNA from 1 species
UACGUAGGGUGCAAGCGUUGUCCGGAAUUAUUGGGCGUAAAGAGCUCGUAGGCGGUUUGUCGCGUCUGCUGUGAAAACCCGAGGCUCAACCUCGGGCCUGCAGUGGGUACGGGCAGACUAGAGUGCGGUAGGGGAGAUUGGAAUUCCUGGUGUAGCGGUGGAAUGCGCAGAUAUCAGGAGGAACACCAAUGGCGAAGGCAGAUCUCUGGGCCGGAACUGACGCUGAGGAGCGAAAGCGUGGGGAGCAAACAGG